AGGAAUCUCCACAAUGGACGCAAGUCUGAUGGAGCAACGCCGCGUGAGUGAAGAAGGUUUUCGGACCGUAAAGCUCUGUUGUUGGUGAAGAAGGAUAGAGGUAGUAACUGGCCUUUAUUUGACGGUAAUCAACCAGAAAGUCACGGCUAACUACGUGCCAGCAGCCGCGGUAAUCGUAGGUGGCAAGCGUUGUCCGGAUUUAUUGGGCGUAAAGCGAGCGCAGGCGGAAGAAUAAGUCUGAUGUGAAAGCCCUCGGCUUAACCGAGGAAUUGCAUCGGAAACUGUUUUCUUGAGUGCAGAAGAGGAGAGUAGAACUCCAUGUGUAGCGGUGGAAUGCGUAGAUAUAUGGAAGAAUACCAGUGGCGAAGGCGGCUCUCUGGUCUGCAACUGACGCUGAGGCUCGAAAGCAUGGGUAGCGAACAGGAUUAGAUACCCUGGUAGUCCAUGCCGUAAACGAUGAGUGCUAAGUGUUGGGAGGCUUCCGCCUCUCAGUGCUGCAGCUAACGCAUUAAGCACUCCGCCUGGGGGAGUACGACCGCAAGGUUGAAAC
rnacentral:rRNA from 1 species